rnacentral:rRNA from 1 species
UUGGUUAAGUCCGCAACGAGCGCAACCCUUAUUUGCUAGUUACCAUCAUUAAGUUUGGGGGACUCUAGCGAGACUGCCAGUGAUAAACUGGAGGAAGGUGGGGAUGAACGUCAAAUCAUCAUGCCCUUAUGACCUGGGCUACAAACGUGAUACAAUGGCUGAAACAAAGGGCAGCGAAGGAGCGAUCUGGAGCGAAACCCAAAAAAGCAGUCUCAGUUCGGAUUGAAGUCUGCAACUCGACUUCAUGAAGUCGGAAUCGCUAGUAAUCGCGGAUCAGAACGCCGCGGUGAAUACGUUCUCGGGGUUU